rnacentral:sRNA from 1 species
UCCAUUCAAAAAUAAAUUUAUUAGUUGG